rnacentral:rRNA from 1 species
AUGCCGCCCAAGUCGGUUAAGAGGGGCGGCGCCGCGGCGGCGAGGAAGGGGUCGGCGACGAAGGCCAGGGCGGCGAAGCCCCAGCCGGUCGCGGAGGAGGCGCCCGUCGAGGUGGUCAAGGCCGCGGAGGAGGCUCCCCCUAAGGUGGAGGAACAGAAGCCGCAGCCGUCGCCGCCACCGCAGCAGCCGGCCGCUGAGGUGAAGGCUAAGGCGGAUGCCGCUGAGAACGGCGCAAGCCACGCUGAAGAUGAUGGAGCUGCAAAAGAAACAUAUGAAGAAGAGGACAAAGGUGAACGACUGGAGUUCGAGGAUGAGCCAGAAUAUGAAGAGGAGCCUGCCGUGGACUACGACGAGAAGGAUUUGGAGCAGUAUGAGGAGCAAUACGAGGACGGCGAUGAAGGGCUGGAGUACACUGAAGAUGUAGUCGAAGAGGAGACUGAGAUGGUGGAUGAGGAGGAACUGGAUAAUGGCGGGGAUGAUGGCGAGGGUGAGGAAUAUGAAAAUGCAGAUGAAGACCACGAUGUGGACGUGGAGGACGAAGACCAUCAUGAAAUGGUGAAAGCACAUCGUAAGAGGAAGGAGUUUGAAGUUUUUGUUGGUGGGCUAGAUAAAGAUGCCACAGAAAGUGACCUGAGGAAAGUUUUCAGUGAAGUCGGCGAGAUCACUGAAGUUCGUUUGAUGAUGAACCCUGUUACGAAGAAGAAUAAAGGCUUCGCGUUCCUGCAAUAUGAGACUGUGGAGCAAGCAAAGCGUGCUGUCUCAGAUCUGAAAAAUCCGAUGGUGCGAGGUAAGCAAUGCGGUGUUGCUCCUAGUCGUGACAACGAUACACUUUUUGUUGGCAAUAUCUGCAAGACAUGGACAAAAGAACAUCUGAAGGAGAAACUGAAGAUCUAUGAGGUCGAGGAUUUUGAUGAUUUAAUAUUGGUUGAGGAUAGCAAUAACCCAGGGAUGAAUCGUGGGUAUGCUUUACUUGAGUUUUCUACUCGCCCUGAAGCUAUGGAUGCUUUCAGGCGGUUGCAGAAGAGGGAUGUAGUCUUUGGAGUUGAUCGCACUGCAAAGGUUUCCUUUGCCGAUUCCUAUCCUGAAGUCGAUGAUGAAAUGAUGGCACAGGUCAGAACUGUAUUUCUUGAUGGUCUCCCCCCCUCAUGGGAAGAAGAUCGUGUUAAGAAGUACCUUAAAAAGUAUGGAGCUAUCGAGAAAGUUGAACUUGCCCGAAACAUGCCUGCGGCCAAAAGAAAAGAUUUUGGGUUUGUUACUUUUGAUACGCAUGAUAAUGCUGUUGCAUGUGUUGAUGGGAUAACUAGUUCUGAGCUUGGCGAAGGUGAUAGCAAGGCAAAAGUGAGAGCCAGAUUGUCAAGGCCAGUACAGAGACCUCCUAGAAUGAAGCAUGGAUUAAGAGGAAAUUUCAGGAUUGGGCAAAGUGCUCCUCGAGGUGGCCGUUUCCCAUACACUCGGCCUCCUCCACGCCGGCCUCUGCCAUGUCUUGUACGACCUGAUACUCGCUUACCUCCCAUCAGGAGGCCUCCACUGAAGAGGCCAAUAGAUAAAAGAGAUAGACGCCCUGUUAUGUCGAUACCAGAUAGAGUUAGGCGUUUGCCUCCUCCAGAGAGAUCCUAUGAUAGAAGGCCCCCAGCUCCUGUUUACCCAAAGAGAAGUCCAAGGAGGGAAUAUGGAAGGCGUGAUGAACCUCUUCCGCCAAGGAGCAGAGCUACCUUUGCUGACUACAGUGCAAGAGUUCCAGUGGAUAGGCGCCACACUUACAGGGACGACUAUUCGCCCCGUGAAUCGGCCUAUUCAGACCUAGCUCCUCGCAGCGCUCCCCGUUUUUCUGACAGGAGAGCAUAUGCUGAUGACGGCUAUGUAGAGAAGAUUGACCGACCUUUGCCAACCUAUAGGGAGGGCCGUGGACGUGAUUAUGAUACAAUAUCUGGUUCAAAACGCUCAUAUGUUGAGAUGGAUGACGUGCCUCCUCGGUACCACGACAUUAGCGUUCGUCAGCCCAAGGCACGCUUAGAUUAUGAUGUUGGUGGUAGCAGUGCUCGGUAUGCAGAUGCUUAUACUGAGAGGCUUGGGCGGUCACAUGUGGGAUACAGUAGCAGCAGAUCUGUUGCUGGUCAUGACCCGGUGUAUAGCAGCAGCCGCCAUGGCUUGAGUUAUGGAGGUUCUGCGAGCACUGGAGAUGCUGGUGGAAAUUACUCUUCAAAUUACAGUGCAGACUACAUGCCUCGUGGAUCUGAUGUUGGCGGGAGUUCAUAUUCAUCGCAUUACUCGGGUCGAAACACGGGUAGCAGCAGUGGCUACUUUGGCGGCAGUGGUUCCAGUUCGUACUACUAA